rnacentral:tRNA from 1 species
ACCUGGCUGGCUUAGUUGGUGGAGCAUGUGGCUCCUGAUCUCAGGGUUGUGAGUUCAAACCCCACAUUGGGUG